AACGGCCGUACCAUGCUGAAUAUACCGGUUCUCGUUAAAUCACCGAAGUCAAGCAUCAUUGGGCGCGGUCAGUACUUGGGUGGGUGACCACCUGGGAACACUGCGUGCCGUU
rnacentral:rRNA from 1 species